CUGGCCUCAAGAAGGGAGGACUGAGAUUGGAGGACUUGUGGCUUCCAGGUUCCUUCCGCAACAGGGGCCCAGCCCGUGACGGGGAUAAAAAGCAAGCAGAGGGGCCGGCCUGAUACUGCAGAGAGCAGCGAUGGCUCCUUGGGUGAGGAUAAAGCAAACAGGCGAGGAGCGGCUGAUCAGGAGAUAAUCUCUCUGAGAAAUGAUCAAGUGCCAGUUGCUUCCGCAGCUGCAGGGCUGCAUCUGGGCCCCAGUGCUGACGUGAGCUCCGCCUCCAGAUCUGCAUUGUCACUGGCUUGUUGGAAAAACAGAUGUUAUUGUCCUCUAUUCCCAUCUCUUUGUCCCUAAUAGGAGGUUAAGUGCAGGAGGGGGAACGGAGAAACGGGACAGAAUCAUGCGUCUCUUUCAGGCUCUUUCCAGAAGAUGCACUUCUGUGGGACUUGGGGUUUUGGAUGGAGUGGAGGCAGGGAGAGACCUCGUCCCCUGCCCUGGGUGUUCUGGGCCAGCCUUGGGGAGGAGCUGCCCCGCUGGCCCCUUGUCCAGGCCAGUGGGUGCUGAUGACUGGUUCUGGGAAGGGUUGCUUUCCUUCGUGCCUACAUCCACCACCUGGACUGCACCCUGAUGUUAGAGGAAGGGAUGAUGGGGACCCCUGGCCUUCUGCUUUGACUCCCAGAAUUUGGGAGGUUGUAUGAGGUCAAGGGCUGAUGAGAUCAAGGUCUUGAGUUCCAUUCUUGUUUGGGAUUCAUCCAUUCACUCAUUCAUUCAUUCAGUGAGUCAGUCAACCAUCUGCUGCUGAGCACAUUCUUGAUGGCUUAACCCUACACCUGACAGCAGCAUGCUGGUUUGCAGAUGAAAACUUUUCACGGGAAGAACAGUCUGUCCUCUUACGUCAGGUCACGUGGCUACGAUUUAAUGGAGCUCAGAGGCUCUCCUGCUCCGGAAUAGCUCUGCAGCAACCUGCCCCAGCACCUGGAAUUCCACCAUCAGUCAGUCCUUUGAAUGAAGGCAUUAUAUUUCCCAAAGGUCCUUGCCAAAAUACGAGCACGUAACUGAGGAGGCCUCGCAGAGGGAAAAGAAAUCUGCCGGUCACCAUGGAGAACAGAGGAGGGGACCCAAAAUGAAUGAUAUACACUAUGGAAGGGAUGCUGUACGACUUCCCAGCCUAGGCCUCAAUAGGCCUUGCAGCUUCUGCUCUCCUCCACCUGGGACGACCCUGAGACUGCCAGGUGAAGGAGUCGGGUCCAGCCCCCUGAAGGGUGAGAAGCGACACGAAGCAAAGAUGAGCCAUCCCAGCUGCGGUCCUCAGACCAUCCAGCUGACAUCCAGCACCAACCACCACACAUGUGAGUGAAGUCAGUUUUAGACUCUCUGGCCAUCCCAGCCACCAGCUGACUGCACACGAGUGAGCCCAGGAGAGACCAGCCCAAGUUGUCCACCCACAGCAUCACGAGCAAAUAAACAGUUGUUAUUCU
rnacentral:lncRNA from 1 species